rnacentral:rRNA from 1 species
UAGGGAAUCUUCGGCAAUGGGGGCAACCCUGACCGAGCAACGCCGCGUGAGUGAAGAAGGUUUUCGGAUCGUAAAGCUCUGUUGUAAGAGAAGAACGUGUGUGAGAGUGGAAAGUUCACACAGUGACGGUAACUUACCAGAAAGGGACGGCUAACUACGUGCCAGCAGCCGCGGUAAUACGUAGGUCCCGAGCGUUGUCCGGAUUUAUUUGGCGUAAAGCGAGCGCAGGCGGUUUAAUAAGUCUGAAGUUAAAGGCAGUGGCUUAACCAUUGUUCGCUUUGGAAACUGUUAAACUUGAGUGCAGAAGGGGAGAGUGGAAUUCCAUGUGUAGCGGUGAAAUGCGUAGAUAUAUGGAGGAACGCCGGUGGCGAAAGCGGCUCUCUGGUCUGUAACUGACGCUGAGGCUCGAAAGCGUGGGGAGCAAACAGG